UACAGAGGGGCAAGCGUUGUUCGGAAUUACUGGGCGUAAAGGGCGCGUAGGCGGCCCGCUAAGUCGAACGUGAAAUCCCCGGGCUCAACCCGGGAACUGCGUCCGAUACUGGUGGGCUCGAAUCCGGGAGAGGGAUGCGGAAUUCCAGGUGUAGCGGUGAAAUGUGUAGAUAUCUGGAGGAACACCGGUGGCGAAGGCGGCAUCCUGGACCGGUAGUUGACGCUGAGGCGCGAAAGCCAGGGGAGCAAACGGG
rnacentral:rRNA from 1 species